rnacentral:rRNA from 1 species
GUCUAUGUCCACAUCACCCUCAAUGUGCCCAAUCUCAUAAGACCUCAGAAGAUAAGCAGGUUUGAGCUUGGUAGGUGCUUGGAUGGGAGACUGCCUGGGCAUAUUAGGCGUUAAGGGUU